rnacentral:snRNA from 9 species
AUACUUACCUUGCGUAGGAAUACCGUGAUCAUGCAGGCAGUUCCCCCAGGGUGACGCUGCUCCAUUGCACUGCGGAGUGGUUGACCCUUGCGAUUAUUUUUAUAUUUUAUAAGUUUCACUUCUACCGUGUGUGACUUGCACACACACACACACUUUAUUUUUUCUUAUGAUAUUUUUUUCAAAUUUUUUCUU